ensembl:miRNA
UAAAAGUUUGGUUGGGUUUUUCUGUAACAUCUGAUGGAAAAAUCUGAACAAACUUUCCGG